CCUGGUGGCUGCAGUGGGGAAUAUUGGGCAAUGGGCGCAAGCCUGACCCAGCAACGCCGCGUGAAGGAAGAAGGCUUUCGGGUUGUAAACUUCUUUUCUCAGGGACGAAGAAAGUGACGGUACCUGAGGAAUAAGCCACGGCUAACUACGUGCCAGCAGCCGCGGUAAUACGUAGGUGGCAAGCGUUAUCCUGAUUUACUGGGUGUAAAGGGCGUGUAGGCGGGACUUCAAGUCAGAUGUGAAACCCACGGGCUCAACCUGUGGACUGCAUUUGAAACUGUAGUUCUUGAGUACUGGAGAGGCAGACGGAAUUCCUAGUGUAGCGGUGAAAUGCGUAGAUAUUAGGAGGAACACCAGUGGCGAAGGCGGUCUGCUGGACAGCAACUGACGCUGAGGCGCGAAAGCGUGGGGAGCAAACAGGAUUAGAUACCCCUGUAGUC
rnacentral:rRNA from 1 species